GCCAGACUCCUACGGGAGGCAGCAGUGGGGAAUAUUGGGCAAUGGGCGCAAGCCUGACCCAGCAACGCCGCGUGAAGGAAGAAGGCUUUCGGGUUGUAAACUUCUUUUGUCAGGGACGAAGCAAGUGACGGUACCUGACGAAUAAGCCACGGCUAACUACGUGCCGGCAGCCGCGGUAAUACGUAGGUGGCAAGCGUUAUCCGGAUUUAUUGGGUGUAAAGGGCGUGUAGGCGGGAAUGCAAGUCAGAUGUGAAAACUAUGGGCUCAACCCAUAGCCUGCAUUUGAAACUGUAUUUCUUGAGUGCUGGAGAGGCAAUCGGAAUUCCGUGUGUAGCGGUGAAAUGCGUAGAUAUACGGAGGAACACCAGUGGCGAAGGCGGCUUCCUGGACGAAGACUGACGCUGAGGCACGAAGGCGUGGGGAGCGAACAGGAUUAGAUACCCCCGUAC
rnacentral:rRNA from 1 species